GCAGUCCAUUAGGUGAUCGCCCCGGUCCUGUAAAAAGGAACGGAGAGGAAAGUCCGGACAGUAUAGAGCGUGACAGUCGCUAACGGCGACCGGGGGCAACCCUAGGGAAAGUGCCACAGAAACGAAACUACCUGGGAGUUAAAUCCUAGGAAAAGAUGAAACGAGUGAGGUAAGAGCUCACAGCAUGCCAUGGUGACAUGGUGUGAAGGUAAACCCUGUCAACUGCAAGGAGAUCUGCAUAAAGGGCUGCUCGUCCGCAGGUCGAUACCCGCUUGAUCUGGCAGGCAACUGUCAGACUAGAUAGAUGAUCGCCCACGACAGAACCCGGCUUAUCGAUGGACUGCAAAC
rfam:Candidatus Saccharibacteria bacterium CG2_30_41_52 cg2_3.0_scaffold_21_c, whole genome shotgun sequence.